UCUCCGUUGGUGAACCAGCGGAGGGAUCAUUACAGAGUUGCGAAACUCCCACAAACCAUCGCGAAUCUUACCCGUACGGUUGCCUCGGCGCUGGCGGUCCGGAAGGCCCUCGGGCCCCCCGGAUCCUCGGGUCUCCCGCUCGCGGGAGGCUGCCCGCCGGAGUGCCGAAACCAAACUCUUGAUAUUUUAUGUCUCUCUGAGUAAACUUUUAAAUAAGUCAAAACAUUCAACAACGGAUCUCUUGGUUCUG
rnacentral:misc_RNA from 1 species